rnacentral:rRNA from 1 species
AUUGAACUCUGGCGGCAGGCUUAACACAUGCAAGUCGAGCGGGGGAAGGUAGCUUGCUACCGGACCUAGCGGCGGACGGGUGAGUAAUGCUUAGGAAUCUGCCUAUUAGUGGGGGACAACAUCUCGAAAGGGAUGCUAAUACCGCAUACGUCCUACGGGAGAAAGCAGGGGAUCUUCGGACCUUGCGCUAAUAGACGAGCCUAAGUCGGAUUAGCUAGUUGGUGGGGUAAAGGCCUACCAAGGCGACGAUCUGUAGCGGGUCUGAGAGGAUGAUCCGCCACACUGGGACUGAGACACGGCCCAGACUCCUACGGGAGGCAGCAGUGGGGAAUAUUGGACAAUGGGGGGAACCCUGAUCCAGCCAUGCCGCGUGUGUGAAGAAGGCCUUAUGGUUGUAAAGCACUUUAAGCGAGGGGGAGGCUACUUUAGUUAAUACCUAGAGAUAGUGGACGUUACUCGCAGAAUAAGCACCGGCUAACUCUGUGCCAGCAGCCGCGGUAA